AACAAAACAAAACUGCUGGAAAACACCCCUCACUCGACUACUCGCACGCCUGUCAACGACGACUCGGUAGAAAUGUCACGCGAAGAGAGAAGGAAGAAACGUCAAAAUCGUUCCACGUGAAGUUGCGUCGUCACGGGCUCGGCCAGUUGGCCGCCAAGAGGAAGAAAGUCCGCGUCGUUGCCGCGGCUGGUGCUCGUCUGCACCACGGGCCGGAACGGUUCCUUGGCCGUUGGAGAGGCCACCGUCGAAGCCGUUGCCAGCCCCUCGAUUGAUUGGAGUGCCGGAACGGCACCACAGAAGGGAGAGCUUCUACAGGCCGGACGGGACUUGCGUCGGACGCAAGCGGCCAACAAGUUUAAGAAAACGCCCCCGGAUCACCACUGGGGGCGUUGUUUUGGAUUGCUGGAAUGCUGCGAACUUCCCCGUAAGAGCCACCCGGUCGACAGGAGCUCGAUAUUCGGCACUACGUGCGUCGGGGAGGUCGACGAGGAGCGUAUCUUGGUGGAUCGACACCCGAGGAGCUCGACCCGGUAGAGAACGCGACCGACGUCAAGCCUGACAUCGGGCGCACGGAACCUGACACGUCGAGCGGAUCGUCAGGAAGGUGUAUGCGAGAUCUGGCCCAGUGCUGACAAACCCAGUGCGAAGGUGGUGGCUGACUCGAACCCGAUGUGUCGGGCCGUGGCGAGAUUCGUCGGACAAGGUACGGUGCAGUUUUGGGACGACUGGAGCAGAAGAUCAUGGGCCCGAAGAAAACGAAGAAAAACAGUGAGUAGAGUGACUCAGAAGAAAAGAAGAGUAGGAGAUGAAUAGGGCUAAGAAAUAGCAGGAAAGAGUAAAAUAAAUGGGAAACAAACAUGAAACAUGA